rnacentral:rRNA from 1 species
CCGAAGAGGCUAGCCAUGCAUGCAGUCGAGCGGCAGCGGAAGUAGCUGCUACUUGCCGGCGAGCGGCGGACGGGUGAGUAUGUCUGGGAAACUGCCUGAUGGAGGGGGAUAACUACUGGAAACGGUAGCUAAUACCGCAUAACGUCGCAAGACCAAAGAGGGGGACCUUCGGGCCUCUGCCAUCAGAUGUGCCCAGAUGGGAUUAGCUAGUAGGUGGGGUAACGGCUCACCUAGGCGACGAUCCCUAGCUGGUCUGAGAGGAUGACCAGCCACACUGGAACUGAGACACGGUCCAGACUCCUACGGGAGGCAGCAGUGGGGAAUAUUGCACAUGGGCGCAAGCCUGAUGCAGCCUGCCGCGUGUAUGAAGAAGGCCUUCGGGUUGUAAAGUACUUUCAGCGGGGAGGAAGGCGUUGAGGUUAAUAACCUCAGCGAUUGACGUUACCCGCAGAAGAAGCACCGGCUAACUCCGUGCCAGCAGCCGCGGUAAUACGAGGGUGCAAGCGUUAAUCGGAAUUACUGGGCGUAAAGCGCACGCAGGCGGUCUGUCAAGUCGAUGUGAAAUCCCCGGGCUCAACCUGGGAACUGCAUUCGAAACUGGCAGGCUAGAGUCUUGUAGAGGGGGGUAGAAUUCCGGUGUAGCGGUGAAAUGCGUAGAGAUCUGGAGGAAUACCGGUGGCGAAGGCGGCCCCCUGGACAAAGACUGACGCUCRGUGCGAAAGCGUGGGGAGCAAACAGGAUUAGAUACCCUGGUAGUCCACGCCGUAAACGAUGUCGACUUGGAGGUUGUGCCCUUGAGGCGUGCUUCCGGAGCUAACGCGUUAAGUCGACCGCCUGGGGAGUACGGCCGCAAGGUUAAAACUCAAUGAUUGACGGGGGCCCGCAAGCGGUGAGCAUGUGGUUUAAUUCGAUGCAACGCGAAGACCUUACCUACUCUGACAUCCAGAAGAACUUCAGAGAUGSUUGGUGCCUUCGGGAACUUCUGAAACAUGGUGCUGCAUGACUGUCGUCGCUCGUGUUGUGAAAUGUGGAUAGUUCCGCACAGAGGCAACUAAUCGUUGUGCAGCGUCGGCGGG